CGUCACAUACCCUUCAGUAUGCAAGAACAACGCAAAACUGGGAGAACUGUGCAACACUGAAGACAGCAUGGUAGAGAAACAACGAAGGGGUCCCUCCGUUCAGGAAGGACAUUGCGGGGCUGAAGCGCCUCCAAAGAAGAGCAGCGAAGUUGGUGAAGGAUCUGGAGCACAAAUCCCAUGAUGAAAGGCUGAAGGAGGUGCCACACAAAGGGUCCUUGGGAUGGGGAUUGGAAAUGCCAUGAAAGCUGGCUGGACCAGGCUCCUAAGCAAAUUGCAGGAAUAAUGAGGAAUGCAUCUUUGAGGAAUGAACGAGCCCAUUUACCCCUGAGGAGAAGCUGCCUUCUGCUACCCAUUCACCUGUGUCUGUGCAGUGGAUUAUGGUGCCAUGAGGAUAGAAAACAUGGAAAUAUACAGCUCACUGCUGAGACAAGAGAUUCAAAAUCGUGGGCUAUUGCUCAGGUGCUGUGGCUGCUGAGGGGCCAACACAGGCCCAGACACAGCUCCAGGGUACCAUCCUAAUGUUUAGCAGUUAUUUAGGACUUUGCUGCUGCUGCCAGCUCUAAUUCUAAGUCUAGGGAGAAGUAAUGUGUGAGUCUUCGCAAGACACUUUCUCCAAGAGUGACUGGGAUACAGAUAAAAUCCUGCCACAAGACAGUGAAUGCUGGCAGCCACCAUGCUCCUCUGCUCUUGGACAAUUGUCAUCGUCCCUUUCUCCCACAGCUGCUCCAUCCCUCAUCUCUGCCUGUUGCUCCAGUGUUUCCUCCCAGCUUCCACCCUCCUCCCUCUCCUGGGGUGUACCCUUCUUCAGGAAACACAGCACUGGACAUGUUUCAAGGGGUUUUCAGACAGAGGAUGGGGAAUGAAGAAGGAUCAUUUGGCUCCCGGGAAGGCAAUGUGACAAAAGGAAAAGAGUCUGUGAGCUGCCAAACAGAGGCAAUAGAGUUAUAUUAAAACAGU